UACGUAGGGCGCAAGCGUUAUCCGGAAUUAUUGGGCGUAAAGAGCUCGUAGGCGGUUUGUCGCGUCUGCCGUGAAAGUCCGGGCUCAACUCCGGAUCUGCGGUGGGUACGGGCAGACUAGAGUGCAGUAGGGGAGACUGGAAUUCCUGGUGUAGCGGUGAAAUGCGCAGAUAUCAGGAGGAACACCGAUGGCGAAGGCAGGUCUCUGGGCUGUAACUGACGCUGAGGAGCGAAAGCAUGGGGAGCGAACAGG
rnacentral:rRNA from 1 species